rnacentral:rRNA from 1 species
UACAGAGGGUGCAAGCGUUAAUCGGAAUUACUGGGCGUAAAGCGUGCGUAGACGGUAGCGUAAGUCGGGUGUGAAAGCCCCGGGCUCAACCUGGGAAUUGCAUUCGAGACUGCUCUGCUAGGGUGCGGAAGAGGGAAGCGGAAUUUCCGGUGUAGCGGUGAAAUGCGUAGAUAUCAGGAGGAACACCGGUGGCGAAGGCGCUCAUCUGGCCCAAUACUGACGCUGAGGCGCGAAAGCUAGGGGAGCAAACGGG